GACGAACCGUGCGAACGUUGUUCGGAUUCACUGGGCUUAAAGGGUGCGUAGGUGGCCCUGUAAGUCAGUGGUGAAAUACAGCCGCUUAACGGUUGAGGUGCCAUUGAUACUGCAGGGCUUGAAACAAGUGGAGGCUGCCGGAAUGGAUGGUGUAGCGGUGAAAUGCAUAGAUAUCAUCCAGAACACCGAUUGCGAAGGCAGGUGGCUACGUUUGAUUUGACACUGAGGCACGAAAGCAUGGGGAGCAAACAGG
rnacentral:rRNA from 1 species